rnacentral:rRNA from 1 species
CCCUUAGACGUUCUGGGCCGCACGCGCGCUACACUGACCGGUGCAACAAGCAUCCGUCCUUGGCCGACAGGCCCGGGCAAUCUUUGAACGCCGGUCGUGAUGGGGAUAGACUUUUGCAAUUUUUGGUCUUCAACGAGGAAUUCCUAGUAAACGCAAGUCAUCAACUUGCAUUGAUUACGUCCCUGCCCUUUGUACACACCGCCCGUCGCACCUACCGAUUGAAUGGUCCGGUGAAGCCUCCGGAUUGGCGCGCACCUCGGUGCCGCCGAGAAGUUGGCUAAACCUUACCAUUUAGAGGAAGGUGAAGUCGUACCA